UGCUCAUUAGAAGUCCAAGUGAUUCCCACCACGCUUUGAGGGAGAGCUCCGAUUCCUUACCCAGAGGCUGAGCAGAGCUCAUCCCCUCCUGGAGAAACGGAGAUAGCUCACCUUCUCCACACUCAAAAGAGCUGAGUGAAGUUUCAUGACAUUUCCUAGGAAGCCAAACUUAGUGGAACUUUAGAUGUGCCUGGGAACAGUGUCUUCAUGCAAGAUCUUCCCUGCUGAGGACUCUUGACGCUGCAGAAGCAGGUAGACGCAGCUGUGCUUAGAAGGCAACAAGAUCUCCAGACAACAGACCCAGUGACAUCUCCAGGUGAUCUGAUUUCCUAUAGUGGGUCCCCAGUGGUGGCAUCUUAAAUGGCAUCGGGGAUGUAUCAAAACCUUCAAAAAACAAAGCCAAGCCAGAGAGUUUCUGGAGAUGUGAGGAAGCACCCUUCCAAUGGUGAUGAAAGGGAGUGGAAAGGGUGAGAAGAAGAUGAUGUCAGAAGCAAGCAGCCUGGAGUACCGUCACUUUUCUGUGGCCAGUCUAUUCUCUUCAAACCUAUCUUAUACAUUGGCUUUGGUUACUGGAGGGCAAAAAAAAAAAGGAUCAACCAUUCUAUUUGUUGGGGGGUUAUUUUUCUUGUCACAAUCAUUAGCAUAGCUGAACA
rnacentral:lncRNA from 1 species